CAAUCUAACAAAAUUGUUUCAAAUGAAGUUAAAGACAACUAAGCGCUACUAGAGCCAUCUCAUGGAAAACAUCAAACGAACUUUUUGGCCAACCCAGUAUAUCUGAGAUGCAGUCACUGCCGCUGCCGUCACCACCAUUGACAAAUUCCUCUGGCCAGUGGGCCCCUCUGAGGCCAGCCAAGAAAAGGAAGGCACUCUGUAGCCCUGGCAGAAGAGUCCUCUAGGGAGGGCCCCAAGGGCCAGAGACCCAAAGAUCAAGACAUUCCAAAUGGAUUGUGGAGGAGGAGCCCUCCAGUUGCCAUGAUGUGGGUGACUGGCCUUUCCAGGUGUGCAGCCUGUGCUGUAGCACAUUACAGGCACACACAGGCGGGUUCCAGUAUUUUCUAAAGAAGGACCCAUACCCCAGAGCUGGCCUAGGGGCAUUCAGAAUCCUAAAGGCAAGACUCCACAAGAAGGACAAGUGUCCAACCAAUCUCAAUCCUCUCCGACCUCUCCUCCCUUGCAGCAAGGAAGACCUAAGGCUGGGCCUUUGCUGUGUCAAUUGCUUGUGGAGGGCCCUGUUGUCCACGCUUGGCUCUCGUUGGGAAAGAGGUCCUAAGGUUUGACCCUGGAAAUCUGAGCAGACUGUUCCUGGGACAUAUAGAUUAGACCGGUCUAACUGUGAUGGUCGGGAAGUCAUCAGAGGCAAAUUCUGUCCACUGUGGUUAUUAUUUCAGGUACUCUCCUCUUAGAUAGUGUUGACCCAUGUGAAGGGAGCGGGGGGAGAUGGGUUAGGAGGAAAUCUACUAAAAGGUACUGGUUAGGCUUGUAUCCUAGAGAGUUAGAGCCAAGCGAGGUGUGCGUUUAGAGAUAUCGCUGUCACCUCAUUUUACUGAAUGAAGAAAUAGAAACUCUGAGUGAUGAUGGGACUUACCCAAGGUCACACAGCUGGAAAAUGACUUUCCAACUUCUGAAGACUAAUAAAGAGCUUAUUUCCCCUCUUCCCUCCCCACUACCCCCACCCAGGGACUCCCAGGGCAUAAGUAAACUGUAAAUGAGACAAGUGCUUCACUAUGACAGAUAAUUAGGGCAAGUUUUAGCGGGAAAGCCAGGGAACACGAGAGAUAAUAAUGAAAACUUUUGGUUCUUAUUAGUGCUUUUUUGUUAAUUAGGAUUAGCAAUCACCAAAGUACCUUUAAGAGCACAUUAGGGGAAACAAAGGAAAUAUACUGCAGGGGAGUCCCUGUCCUUGAGGAGGUCACAGUCCAGCCAGGGAGAUAAAAACACACGUAAAAUGCGGUGAGAAGAUUACAAGCAACAUGUCAACAAAUGCAAAGAAACUGAGUGUUACAACGAGACCUAAUGUGCAGGGUACAGGUGACAGUGAUGAGACGGUCUGGCUUAGAGUGUAGAUCAGAAGGCAGCAGCCCACUGGCUAAAUCCUGUCCCCAAAUGCAUUGAGUUUGGCCCACUGGGAGUUAUUUUUUAUAGUAUUAACUUGAACCCUAGUUGAAGAAGGAAAAAAUGCCAGCUAAUAAAUGUAGAAAGAAUGACAGAAUUGGAAAAAUGGCAUUUUGUGAACUUUAAUAAAACUAUUGAUCCUAGCAAAGAUUAUUAAUUGGUGUUAAACACCAUAGGUGAAAUGAUUGGUAGACAACUGCACAUUGAUACAGCGCCAAGUAACACUGUCAGUUUACAAACUUGAGGACAAAAAUGUAACUGUAUAUUGGAGGGAUCAGACUGUCAUCACUCAUUUCCUGGAAACAGUCUUGGUAUCACCUACCAGUAGGCCAGUUCUGGUAUGAGACAAAUACAUAACCCAACCUAGCAUAUAUUCUAGCUGCUCCCUACCCCAAAAGAAGUAUUAGAUAUAACUUACAGUUUACAGGAAAUAUUGGGGAUAGAGAAACGAACUAAUGGACACUAGGAGGAAGCAACUGGACAAAUCUAGGAGGUGAAGCAUUCUGCAGGGCAACUGGCCAGCUCUCUUCAGCAAGUCAGUAUGAUUUUUUUUUUUAAGCCAAAACUGCUAUGAAAGAGACUUAAGGUAUGCAAUAAUAAUACAAUGCAUGGUCCUGGAUUCCCUGUUAGUUUAAACAAAUUGCUACAAAAGAUGUUUGUGGUCAACUGGAAAUGUUUUAAUAUGGACAGGGGAUUAGAUGGGGUGAAAAUUUACUGAAAUGGAAAGGUCAAAAUCAUUAAUAAAAUACCAGUUCCAAAACCAUAAUCAUUUUGCUUUUAAAAUGUCUAUAUAUUUAUGAAUAAAAAAGAUCUGAAAGGAUAUGCACUAAGGUGUUAACAGUGGUGCUCUCUGAGUGGUGGGAAUAUGUUCUGUUGUUGUUGGCCUACAUUUUCCGUUUUUAUACAAUGCACGUGUACUUCCUCUGUAAUAAUAAUAAGCUAUUAUGAAUAAAAUAACUGGUUGCCAACA